rnacentral:lncRNA from 1 species
AUGGCCAAGUCCAACAACCAUACCACACACAACCAGUCCUGAAAAUGGCACAGAAAUGGUAUCAGGAAACCCUCAUCAUAAAGAUAUGCAUCUUUUAAGGGGAUGGACCCCAUGUUCCUGAGGAACACGUGCUUUUCCAAGAAGCACAAGAAGGUCCUAAAGAAGAUGCACGUGCCAAGGCUAUCAAGGCCCUUGUAAAGCCCAAGGAGGUUAAGCCCAAGAUCCCAAAGGGCAUCAGCUGCGAGCUCAAUCGACUUGCCUACAUCUAUCACUACAAGCUUGGGAAUUGUGCUUGUGCCUGCAUUGCCAAGGGUCUCAGACUCUGCCAGCCAAAGGCCAAAGCCAAGUAUUGAAGCAAGGCUCAGGCUGCAGCUCCAGCUUCAGUUCCAGCUUAGGCUCCAAAAGGUGCCCAGGCUCUCACAAAGGCUCCAG